rnacentral:rRNA from 1 species
CCUACGGGAGGCAGCAGUGGGGAAUAUUGCACAAUGGGUGAAACCCUGAUGCAGCGAAGCCGCGUGAGUGAAGAAGUAAUUCGUUAUGUAAAGCUCUAUCAGCCGGGAAGCAAAUGACGGUACCUGAGUAAGAAGCCCCGGCUAACUACGUGCCAGCAGCCGCGGAAAUACGUAGGGGGCCAGCGGUAUCCGGAUUUACUGGGUGUAAAGGGAGCGUAGACGGGAGUGCAAGUCUGGAGUGAAAGGCGGGGGCUCAACCCCCGGACUGCUCUGGAAACUGUACGGCUGGAGUGCAGGAGAGGUAAGUGGAAUGCGUGGUGUAGCGGUGAAAUGCAUAGAUAUUAGGAGGAACACCGGUGGCGAAGGCGGCUUACUGGACUGUAACUGACGUUGAGGCUCGAAAGCGUGGGGAGCAAACAGGAUUAGAUACCCUGGUAGUC